GAUGAACGCUGGCGGCGUGCCUAAUACAUGCAAGUCGAGCGAACGGACGAGAAGCUUGCUUCUCUGAUGUUAGCGGCGGACGGGUGAGUAACACGUGGAUAACCUACCUAUAAGACUGGGAUAACUUCGGGAAACCGGAGCUAAUACCGGAUAAUAUUUUGAACCGCAUGGUUCAAAAGUGAAAGACGGUCUUGCUGUCACUUAUAGAUGGAUCCGCGCUGCAUUAGCUAGUUGGUAAGGUAACGGCUUACCAAGGCAACGAUGCAUAGCCGACCUGAGAGGGUGAUCGGCCACACUGGAACUGAGACACGGUCCAGACUCCUACGGGAGGCAGCAGUAGGGAAUCUUCCGCAAUGGGCGAAAGCCUGACGGAGCAACGCCGCGUGAGUGAUGAAGGUCUUCGGAUCGUAAAACUCUGUUAUUAGGGAAGAACAUAUGUGUAAGUAACUGUGCACAUCUUGACGGUACCUAAUCAGAAAGCCACGGCUAACUACGUGCCAGCAGCCGCGGUAAUACGUAGGUGGCAAGCGUUAUCCGGAAUUAUUGGGCGUAAAGCGCGCGUAGGCGGUUUUUUAAGUCUGAUGUGAAAGCCCACGGCUCAACCGUGGAGGGUCAUUGGAAACUAGAAAACUUGAGUGCAGAAGAGGAAAGUGGAAUUCCAUGUGUAGCGGUGAAAUGCGCAGAGAUAUGGAGGAACACCAGUGGCGAAGGCGACUUUCUGGUCUGUAACCGACGCUGAUGUGCGAAAGCGUGGGGAUCAAACAGGAUUAGAUACCCUGGUAGUCCACGCCGUAAACGAUGAGUGCUAAGUGUUAGGGGGUUUCCGCCCCUUAGUGCUGCAGCUAACGCAUUAAGCACUCCGCCUGGGGAGUACGACCGCAAGAUUGAAACUCAAAGGAAUUGACGGGGACCCGCACAAGCGGUGGAGCAUGUGGUUUAAUUCGAAGCAACGCGAAGAACCUUACCAAAUCUUGACAUCCUUUGACAACUCUAGAGAUAGAGCCUUCCCCUUCGGGGGACAAAGUGACAGGUGGUGCAUGGUUGUCGUCAGCUCGUGUCGUGAGAUGUUGGGUUAAGUCCCGCAACGAGCGCAACCCUUAAGCUUAGUUGCCAUCAUUAAGUUGGGCACUCUAAGUUGACUGCCGGUGACAAACCGGAGGAAGGUGGGGAUGACGUCAAAUCAUCAUGCCCCUUAUGAUUUGGGCUACACACGUGCUACAAUGGACAAUACAAAGGGCAGCGAAACCGCGAGGUCAAGCAAAUCCCAUAAAGUUGUUCUCAGUUCGGAUUGUAGUCUGCAACUCGACUACAUGAAGCUGGAAUCGCUAGUAAUCGUAGAUCAGCAUGCUACGGUGAAUACGUUCCCGGGUCU
rnacentral:rRNA from 1 species